rnacentral:rRNA from 1 species
CAAUAGCGUAUAUUAAAGUUGUUGCGGUUAAAAAGCUCGUAGUUGGAUUUCUGCCGAGGACGACUGGUCCGCCCUCUGGGUGAGCAUCUAGUUCGGCCUGGGCAUCUUCUUGGAGAACGUAGCUGCACUUGACUGUGUGGUGCGGUAUCCAGGACUUUUACCUUGAGGAAAUUAGAGUGUUUCAAGCAGGCACACGCCUUGAAUACAUUAGCAUGGAAUAAUAAUAUAGGACCUCGGUUCUAUUUUGUUGGUUUCUAGAACUUGGGUAAUGAUUAAUAGGGACAAUUGGGGGCAUUCGUAUUAACGCGUCAGAGGUGAAAUUCUUAGAUUGCGUUACGGCGAACUACUGCGAAAGCAUUUGCCAAAGAUGUUUUCAUUGAUCAAGAACGAAAGUAUGGGAUCGAAGAUGAUUAGAUACCGU